GGGGCUGAUUCUGGAUUCGACGGGAUUUGCGAAACCCAAGGUGCAUGCCGAGGGGCGGUUGGCCUCGUAAAAAGCCGCAAAAAAUAGUCGCAAACGACGAAAACUACGCUUUAGCAGCUUAAUAACCUGCUUAGAGCCCUCUCUCCCUAGCCUCCGCUCUUAGGACGGGGAUCAAGAGAGGUCAAACCCAAAAGAGAUCGCGUGGAAGCCCUGCCUGGGGUUGAAGCGUUAAAACUUAAUCAGGCUAGUUUGUUAGUGCGUGUCCGUCCGCAGCUGGCAAGCGAAUGUAAAGACUGACUAAGCAUGUAGUACCGAGGAUGUAGGAAUUUCGGACGCGGGUUCAACUCCCGCCAGCUCCACCA
rnacentral:tmRNA from 1 species